AUUGAACGCUGGCGGCAGGCCUAACACAUGCAAGUCGAGCGGAUGACGGGAGCUUGCUCCUUGAUUCAGCGGCGGACGGGUGAGUAAUACCUAGGAAUCUGCCUGAUAGUGGGGGACAACGUUUCGAAGGGAACGCUAAUACCGCAUACGUCCUACGAGAGAAAGCAGGGGACCUUCGGGCCUUGCGCUAUCAGAUGAGCCUAGGUCGGAUUAGCUAGUUGGUGAGGUAAUGGCUCACCAAGGCGACGAUCCGUAACUGGUCUGAGAGGAUGAUCAGUCACACUGGAACUGAGACACGGUCCAGACUCCUACGGGAGGCAGCAGUGGGGAAUAUUGGACAAUGGGCGAAAGCCUGAUCCAGCCAUGCCGCGUGUGUGAAGAAGGUCUUCGGAUUGUAAAGCACUUUAAGUUGGGAGGAAGGGCAGUAAGCUAAUACCUUGCUGUUCUGACGUUACCGACAGAAUAAGCACCGGCUAACUCUGUGCCAGCAGCCGCCGUAAAAC
rnacentral:rRNA from 1 species